GACGAACGCUGGCGGCGUGCCUAACACAUGCAAGUCGAACGGAAGUAAGUGCUUCGGUAUUUACUUUAGUGGCGAACGGGUGAGUAACGCGUGAGGAACCUGCCUUUCAGAGGGGGACAACAGUUGGAAACGACUGCUAAUACCGCAUAAUGUACAGAGGGGGCAUCCCUUUUGUAUCAAAGGAGAAAUCCGCUGAAAGAUGGGCUCACGUCUGAUUAGCUAGUUGGUGGGGUAAAGGCCUACCAAGGCUGCGAUCAGUAGCCGGACUGAGAGGUUGAACGGCCACAUUGGGACUGAGAUACGGCCCAG
rnacentral:rRNA from 1 species